rnacentral:misc_RNA from 1 species
GUGAAUCAUCGAAUCUUUGAACGCACCUUGCGCCCCUUGGUAUUCCGAGGGGCAUGCCUGUUUGAGUGUCUUGAAAUCAUCAAGCCCCUCGGCGCUCGUCGCCGGAGGGCUUGGACUUGGGGGUCUUGCUGACGCUUCGGCGCCGGCUCCCCUUAAAUGAAUCGGUCGGGCUUAUCGUGUGCCGGUCCACGGGCGUUGUAUCACCCUCGUCCUGGGAUGGCGCUCGACUCGAAGGCCCCUCCUCGACCUGCCUAUGGAGCGGCGGUCAACACUCUUUGAGAUCUGACCUCAAAUCAGGUA